UGAUUGCCAGAUUCCUCUUUGCUGUUUGGGAAUCCAUUUGAGGUUUGCUUCCAUAAUCUCAUUGCUUUAUUAUUUCAGUCUUGCAUUGAUCAGAGUCCCCGGGUCAUGUGAUCACCUUUUGUGACCUUCUGACGAGCAAAGUCAACGGAAUUGUUUAUUCUACCCGCUGGGACCUUACUCCCUUUAUAUACACAUUGAUUUUUAUCAUUUCUAUUCCCCAUCCCCAUUCUGGCUCAGAUAUCUGAGGAAGACAGUCUGGAAAAGAGGAUUUGCAAAGCAGUGGCAUGUGCCAUUUUCUCCCAUAAUGCUACGAAGGAUGCAAUAUAGUUUUAGAAGCAUAUCUGAUAUACAGUAGUUGAGUUGAGCCCUAUCCUGUACUGGACUACUGGACCUUAGCAUGCCAAUGAUGGGGAAUGGCUUAGGAAGCAAGACAAAGAAACAGGAUCUUCACAGAUACUGAUGUCAAGCUGAUAGGUCUGUAGUUUCCUGGAUCCAUUUUCCCCCCUUUUUUGAAGAUGGGAAUCACAUCUUUCCUUUUCCAGUCAUCUGGUAUGGACUGCAGUUUCUUAGAAUCAGAAUUUACACAUGCACAUAUCCACAAACACAUAAGACACUUGCUCUUCUUUAAAGUCACUGUCUGUUUUGAAACUUGAAUUCUGUUUUCUUUUAGUAUUCUUCCUGUUAACUAUUUUGUCACUAAUAUAAUAUAUAGAAGACAGGUGAAUAAUUUACAAAUAGACUUAUUAGUUAAAAAAUUGGGGGACUGUUUUGAAAGGGGUGGAAAGCUAUGUCAUAGUAACGUAUUCAUCAAUAUUUCAAUUAGGGGGAUAAUAAGUGUAUUUGUGUUGGUCUUUUUGAUGCACCUUUUUCUUGUUUAGUGUUCUGAUUGUUUUGUAGUUUUUCCCUUUUUCUCUUUUUUUUGGAUUUUUGGAAGUUUUGUAUUUUAACUUUGUCUUGAAUAGAAAUAAAAUAUACAUUAAAAAAAAG